rnacentral:rRNA from 1 species
GAUGAACGCUGGCGGUAUGCUUAACACAUGCAAGUCGAACGGUACCUUCGGGUAUAGUGGCGGACGGGUGAGUAACGCGUGAGAAUCUGUCUUCAGGUCGGGGACAACAGUUAGAAAUGACUGCUAAUACCGGAUAUGCCUAUGGGUGAAAGAUUUAUUGCCUGAAAAAGAGCUCGCGUCAGAUUAGCUAGUAGGUGGUGUAAGAGACUACCUAGGCGACGAUCUGUAGCUGGUCUGAGAGGACGAUCAACCACACUGGAACUGAGACACGGUCCAGACUCCUACGGGAGGCAGCAGUGGGGAAUUUUUACCGCAAUGGGCGAAAGCCUGACGGAGCAAUACCGCGUGAGGGACGAAGGCUUUUGGGUCGUAAACCUCUUUUCUCAAGGAAGAUAAUGACGGUACUUGAGGAAUAAGCAUCGGCUAACUCUGUGCCAGCAGCCGCGGUAAU